AAGAAAGUUACUAAGAGCGUACGGCGGAUGCCUAGGCUCUCAGAGGCGAUGAAGGACGUGAUAAGCUGCGAUAAGCUUCGGUGAGGUGCAAAUAACCUUUAACCCGGAGAUUUCCGAAUGGGGCAACCCGGUAUGUUGAAGACAUAUCAUCCAGCAAUGGAAGCGAACCCGGUGAACUGAAACAUCUAAGUAACCGGAGGAAGAGAAAACAAUAGUGAUUCCGUAAGUAGUGGCGAGCGAACACGGAAUAGCCCAAACCAAAGAUGUUACGGCAUCUUUGGGGUUGUAGGACCAAGACAUGGGACUUUAAAUUAAUAGUGGAACAUAACUGGAAAGUUAGAUCAUAGAAGGUGAUAAUCCUGUACACGAAAUUGAUUUAGAGCCCUAUUGGUAUCCUGAGUAGGGCGGGGCCGGUGAAACCCUGUCUGAAUCUGGCAGCACCAUCUGCCAAGGCUAAAUACUCCUGAGAGACCGAUAGUGAACAAGUACCGUGAGGGAAAGGUGAAAAGUACUCCGAACAGGAGGGUGAAAUAGAACCUGAAACCGUGCGCUUACAAGCGGUCGGAGCCAAUUUAUUGGUGACGGCGUGCCUUUUGCAUAAUGAGCCUACGAGUUACUCCUCUCUGGCAAGAUUAAUACUGACAACAGUAGUAGUCGAAGCGAAAGCGAGUCUGAAUAGGGCGACAUUAGUCAGAGGGGGUAGACGCGAAACUUGGUGAUCUACCCAUGGCCAGGUUGAAGUUGCGGUAACACGCAAUGGAGGACCGAACCAGUAGACGUUGAAAAGUCUUUGGAUGAGCUGUGGGUAGGGGUGAAAGGCCAAUCAAACCAAGAGAUAGCUCGUACUCCCCGAAAUGCUUUUAGGAGCAGCGUUGAGUUAGAGUGUCAUAGAGGUAGAGCUACUGAUAGGGCUAGGGGGCUUCACCGCCUACCAACCCCUGACAAACUCCGAAUGCUAUGACAUGUUCCUCAGCAGUGAGGGCAUGGGUGCUAAGGUCCAUGUCCGAAAGGGAAAGAACCCAGAUUACCAGCUAAGGUCCCCAAAUAUGUGUUAAGUUGAACUAACGAGGUCUGACUGCAAAGACAGCUAGGAUGUUGGCUUGGAAGCAGCCAUUCAUUUAAAGAGUGCGUAACAGCUCACUAGUCGAGCGGUCGGGCAUGGAUGAUAAUCGGGCAUUAAACACAUUACCGAAGCUGUAAACUUCGUAUUUAUACGAAUUGGUAGGGGAGCAUUCCAGUAACGCUGAAGUUGUAUCGUAAGGUAUGAUGGAGUUUCUGGAAAAGCAAAUGUAGGCAUAAGUAACGAUAAUGCGGGUGAGAAACCCGCACACCGAAAGACUAAGGUUUCCUGAUCAACGCUAAUCGGAUCAGGGUUAGUCGGGUCCUAAGGCGAACCCGAAAGGGGUAGUCGAUGGAUAACUGGUUAAUAUUCCAGUACCGGCUUAUACUGCGAUGGGGUGACGGAGAAGUGAAAGGUCCGCGUACUGACGGAAUAGUACGUUGAACACUGAAGGUAUAUGAUGUGUAGGCAAAUCCGCACGUCAUGCUGAAGGUGGAUAGUACCACAAGCCCUCGGGUGAGUGGAUAGUGAUCCUAAUCAUGCUUCCAAGAAAAACCUCUAAGCAUCAGGUAUAAGCUGCCCGUACCGUAAACCGACACAGGUAGUCGAGGAGAGAAUCCAAAGGUGCUCGAGUGAUUCAUGGCUAAGGAACUAGGCAAAAUAACCCCGUAACUUCGGGAGAAGGGGUGCCAUCUUCGGAUGGCCGCAGAGAAAUGACCCAGGCGACUGUUUAUCAAAAACACAUGGCUUUGCUAAAUUUAAAGAUGAUGUAUAAGGCCUGACACCUGCCCGGUGCCGGAAGGUUAAGAGGAGGGGUUAUUCUGAUUUAUCAGAAGAAGCUCUUAAUUGAAGCCCCGGUAAACGGCGGCCGUAACUAUAACGGUCCUAAGGUAGCGAAAUUCCUUGUCGGGUAAGUUCCGACCUGCACGAAUGGUGCAACGAUCUGGGUACUGUCUCAGCCAUGAGCUCGGUGAAAUUGUAGUAACGGUGAAGAUGCCGUUUACCCGCAACGGGACGGAAAGACCCCGUGCACCUUCACUACAGCUUAACAUUGACAUUGGAUAAAUGAUGUGCAGGAUAGGUGGGAGGCAAUGAAGCUGCGACGCCAGUCGUGGUGGAGUCAACCUUGAAAUACCACCCUUUAUUUAUCUGGAAUCUAAUCCCGCAAGGGAGACAGUGUUUGGUGGGUAGUUUGACUGGGGUGGUCGCCUCCAAAAAAGUAACGGAGGCUUCUAAAGGUACCCUCAGCACGGUCGGUAAUCGUGCGUAGAGUGCAAUGGCACAAGGGUGCUUGACUGUGAGACCGACAAGUCGAGCAGGUACGAAAGUAGAGCAUAGUGAUCCGGUGGUUCCGUAUGGAAGGGCCAUCGCUCAAAGGAUAAAAGGUACUCCGGGGAUAACAGGCUGAUCUCCCCCAAGAGCUCACAUCGACGGGGAGGUUUGGCACCUCGAUGUCGGCUCGUCACAUCCUGGGGCUGGAGAAG
rnacentral:rRNA from 1 species